UUUCACCUUUUCUUCCCUUCUUUUUCUCUUUCCUCAGAUAAACCAAAGAUGAAACAUGCGAAUCCUGGAAAAGAGAAAGAACUGAAAUAUUCAGCUGCUAUCAAGGAUAAAGAACAUUCUAAAGAAAAGGAAGGAAAGAAUCCUACAGCUUUAAAAGAUAAAGAAUCACUGAAAGGAAAAAAUCCCAAGAAUCCAGAAGAGUCAAAGGAAAAAGAGACUGCUAAAAGAAAAGAUGUGAUGCCUCCAACAGUCUUAAAGGAAAAGGACUCUUCAAAAGGAAAGGAAAUGAAAGUUCCAGCUAUGACAAAGGAGAAAGCUGCGGUGAGGAAACAAGAGGAAAAGAAAGAGAAGAGCACAUGAAAACGCCAGAAGCUGAGGAUAUUGAGAGGAAGCUCUUCAGGCCUUUCAACACACGUGCCCAAAGAUGAAAUGCAUUAAUACAGAACAUGUAUCUCAUCUGCAUUUGGCUGAAAUUUUAUUCUUUCCAGCUCCGUCGAUGGAAGAUUUGUGCUCCCGGGAUUUUAAGACUUAUAGUACUUUAAAGGCAUUAGCUUUUUCUGCUAUUAUAUGAGAUUGCUGUUUCAACAAGACUUAUACUUCCCAGUGCAUUUCUAUUGUUUAACUGACAAACUGGGAAACAGAGAAAGAUUGGGAUCAUUACUGAUGCUCCCUAAAGGCAUGCAUCACAGAAUCAAGUUGAAGCAAUUCCUCCAAUUAAAAAACAUUUUAAAAUGUUGCAAAUGUCUGUAUUUCUUUGCUAGUUCUAUUAUAUUUGCCCCAUGAUAAAGUUUUUUCUUCCAUUCUCUCUGUGAACUACUUUUUUUUUUCCACAGUUAUAUAAAAUAAUGUUGAAUUGCUGUUAAAAAUAAAUCUUAAAAAACAAGUGGCUCUAGAGAAUUA
rnacentral:lncRNA from 1 species